rnacentral:rRNA from 1 species
GAAUUCACUAGUGAUUCAGGCCUAACACAUGCAAGUCGAGCGAACCCUUCGGGGUGAGCGGCGGACGGGUGAGUAACGCGUGGGUAACCUGCCCUGUACACACGGAUAACAUACCGAAAGGUAUGCUAAUACGAGAUAAUAUAUUUUAAUCGCAUGGUUAAGAUAUCAAAGCUCCGGCGGUACAGGAUGGACCCGCGUCUGAUUAGCUAGUUGGUGAGGUAAUGGCUCACCAAGGCGACGAUCAGUAGCCGACCUGAGAGGGUGAUCGGCCACACUGGAACUGAGACACGGUCCAGACUCCUACGGGAGGCAGCAGUGGGGAAUAUUGCACAAUGGGCGAAAGCCUGAUGCAGCAACGCCGCGUGAGCGAAGAAGGCCUUCGGGUCGUAAAGCUCUGUCCUCAAGGAAGAUAAUGAC